rnacentral:rRNA from 1 species
UGGGGAAUAUUGGGCAAUGGGGGAAACCCUGACCCAGCAACGCCGCGUGAAGGAAGAAGGCUUUCGGGUUGUAAACUUCUUUACCAGGGACGAAGGACGUGACGGUACCUGGAGAAAAAGCAACGGCUAACUACGUGCC